rnacentral:RNase_P_RNA from 13 species
AUCAAAAAAAAAAAACUUUUGGCGGGAAACUGUGCAAAAAUUUCCUCUGCCUGCGCUUGGGAAGGUCUGAGGUGUCGACUUUUAUCUCUUGGCGGGAAUCCUCUCUCACGAGGGAGCUCAGGGACCAGAAAUGACCCUUUCUCCUUGGGUUGUCGCAGGCAAUGACUUGUGACCUGCCUAGGAUCGCUCUCUCUCUCUCUCUCUCCCUGGGGGAGGGAGGAGAGAGAGGAGGAGGCAGGUUCCGAGGAGACACGGCUGGAACCAUACCUUGGGUGACACGAUGAACCAAUGUUAAGUUCAAUACACAAGGCCACACAUGACUGUGGUA